GGCGACAGCCUACAUACCUUAAAGGCAACAGAUUCCAUCUGUUCUUGGAAGCUAAGCAGGGUCAACCCUGGUUAGGACCUGGAUGGGAGACCACCAACAAAUCCCAGGUGUUGUAGGUU
rnacentral:rRNA from 1 species